rnacentral:rRNA from 1 species
AUUUGGCUUCCCUGAUGUUUAGCGGCGGACGGGUGAGUAACACGUGGGUAACCUGCCUGUAAGACUGGGAUAACUCCGGGAAACCGGGGCUAAUACCGGAUGGUUGUCUGAACCGCAUGGUUCAGACAUAAAAGGUGGCUUCGGCUACCACUUACAGAUGGACCCGCGGCGCAUUAGCUAGUUGGUGAGGUAACGGCUCACCAAGGCGACGAUGCGUAGCCGACCUGAGAGGGUGAUCGGCCACACUGGGACUGAGACACGGCCCAGACUCCUACGGGAGGCAGCAGUAGGGAAUCUUCCGCAAUGGACGAAAGUCUGACGGAGCAACGCCGCGUGAGUGAUGAAGGUUUUCGGAUCGUAAAGCUCUGUUGUUAGGGAAGAACAAGUGCCGUUCAAAUAGGGCGGCACCUUGACGGUACCUAACCAGAAAGCCACGGCUAACUACGUGCCAGCAGCCGCGGUAAUACGUAGGUGGCAAGCGUUGUCCGGAAUUAUUGGGCGUAAAGGGCUCGCAGGCGGUUUCUUAAGUCUGAUGUGAAAGCCCCCGGCUCAACCGGGGAGGGUCAUUGGAAACUGGGGAACUUGAGUGCAGAAGAGGAGAGUGGAAUUCCACGUGUAGCGGUGAAAUGCGUAGAGAUGUGGAGGAACACCAGUGGCGAAGGCGACUCUCUGGUCUGUAACUGACGCUGAGGAGCGAAAGCGUGGGGAGCGAACAGGAUUAGAUACCCUGGUAGUCCACGCCGUAAACGAUGAGUGCUAAGUGUUAGGGGGUUUCCGCCCCUUAGUGCUGCAGCUAACGC